AAGGAGGGUUCCCGCGGUAGGCGGAAUGAAGGGGCGUAAAGGGCGUGCAGGCGGGAGAGCAAGUCUGAUGUGAAAGCCCGGGGCUUAACCCCGGAAGGGCAUUGGAAACUGCUUUUCUUGAGUUCUGGAGAGGAAGGGAGAAUUCCCGGUGUAGAGGUGAAAUUCGUAGAGAUCGGGAGGAACAUCAGUGGCGAAGGCGCCCUUCUGGACAGCAACUGACGCUGAGCCGCGAAAGCGUGGGGAGCAAACAG
rnacentral:rRNA from 1 species